GCGGUUAAACUAAAGAAUCUAGUUAUAUUAAUUUGGUAAAAAGAUAGUUAGAUGAAGUUAUAUAUAGAGUUUUAGUUAUAAUAUAAUAUUAAGGUAAAAUUUAAAUUUUUUUAUUUUUAUAUAAACUUAUUGUUGAUGCUAUGAAUGUUUUUAAAGAAACUAGGAUUAGAUACCCUAUUAUUUUAAAUUAUAAAUUGAUUUUUUAUUUCUACCAAAGUAUUAUGAAUGUAAAUUUAAAAUUUAAAGAACUUGGCGGUGUCUUAGACUACUUAGGGGAACCUGUUUUUUAAUCGAUAGUCCUCGUUUUACCUUACCUUUUUUUGUUUUCAGUUUGUAUACCGUCGUCGUCAGUUAACUUUAGAAAAAAUAAAAGUUGUCUUUAAAAAUUUUAGUUUUAGAUGUCAGAUCAAGGUGCAGCUUAUAAAUUGGUUAAUAUGGGUUACAAUUAUUUAAUUAUAAAAUGAAUAACUUUAUGAAAUUAUUUUUUGAAGGAGGACUUAAAAGUAAUUUAAUUUAGAUAUAUUAAGUGAAUAUAGCUCUUGGAUGUGUACACAUCGCCGGNUCAC
rnacentral:rRNA from 1 species